rnacentral:lncRNA from 1 species
UUUCCAAACCCAGAAAACAGACGGAAUUCUAGGAUUCCUCCUUGAGGCAAAUACUUUUAUGCAUACCUCUUCCGAUUGGUCUAUACCAUACUCUAUUCUCGUAAUAUGAUAGACACUAGCUAACAGUCCGCCUGGUGCUACAUCAUAAGCACAUUGGGAACGUAGAUAAGUGUAACCAUAUACAUAUAAAAUGACAGCAAUCGAAUGCCAAUCCUCGGGUUUUAUUUGUAAAGUUUAUAUUCCUUGGUAAUUGAAGCCCAAAGAUCUAUGAACUUUGUCCAAAAGAAGGCUUAAAAUAGUUCCCAACUUUUUAAAUAUAAUAAACAAGUUGUAUUUAAAAAAUAAAAUCUUGUUCGACUCUUCAGCGCAUUAUUUUCCUAAUUAGACUAUUUUAUGCAACGCUAUUGAAUUUAAGCCGUACAAAGACAAUGAGUAACAUAAUUAAAUAUUAAUAUUUGUUAUUUGUAACAUUUAAAUUUAAAAUCUUUAACGUACAAAACCAGUGUAGAUGAAUACGAGUAAGUUAACUGUAAUUCUAAUAACCUAUUUACUAUUGUUAGGAAAAAUAUCCUUAACAAUGAGGGUAUCUAAAUCAUUAUCUUUAUCAUCAUCUAAAAGUUAUUUCUAAAUUUUUAUUUGAUUUGUAAACUAUUUAAAGAUUCAUGUAAGUCAAAUAAAUCGAUAAAAUUGAUAUCCUUAAGAAAAGGGCAAUGGUGAUAAAAGUCAUAAGAAAAUUUGACAAAAACCCAUGUAAGUGCUUUAAAUAAUGGUAAAUUGAGAAGACACCAAAAAGCAAUUGGAAAUCAAGCCUAGGACCAGUGAUUCCCCUCCCUCUAGUCCUGUCAAAAAUGAUGGAAUUCGAUUUGCUGCUCUGGUUUCAUUGUGUUGCACAGCAAAGCUGGGCAAAGGAUUAUAAUUUUUUAUUUUAAAUUCAAGCCAAAACGCCGACGUUUUAGUCCUGGUAAGAAAAAUUUAAAAUUCCGACAACAACGUUUUGCUUUAUUGAGUUUUAAAAAAUUAAAUAAUUAUAAUAGGGGGAACCACUGAUCCCCCAUUACCUCUUCACACUCACACACCCUUCCCCUUUCCCAUUUCAAAACUAAUGGAGCAGCAAAAUGUGCCCCCAAACUCAUAAUUCACAAUUGAGGAAAUUGUAUUAAUGGUCCAUCAACUUUAAUUCAAUUGGAGUAACGUCCUUCAAUUUUAUUUCCAUGACCAUUAAUACCUCAACUCGUCAAAAUGUAUAGCUAUAGUCAUUUUCGUUACCACCGUCAAUAGUUCCGUUCAAUUCAGUCAACACGUGAGACUGAUUUUAAAGGCAAAUAAGGAAACAUAUUAUUUUCCAAGGGUUGAAAUCGAUUGAACGCAAAACCCAUCCCCAAUUGAAACUUCCUCCAUGCCCAAUCUCAUAGUCUUCAAAUUCUCACCAUGUUGACCAAUCCUAUAGGAGAUAUGAAAAAGUAUUUUAUAUUCCUAUUGGAAGUAGAUUACCUGUUGUAAUCCUAAGGGAAAGAUUUCUACCUAUCAUACUACUAUAAAUAAAGGCACAAUAGGGUGAAUCAAACACACGUCACAAUUAAAUCAAUCUCUCUUCUCUCUAAUUGUGGUCGGCCCUCUCUCUCUCUAAACCCUAGAUCGUUAAAUCAAAUAGGCCUAUAAAACUUUUCUGAUUUUAAAUUAAGAAUCUCUCUCUUUCUCCCUCUCUCUCCAACAGUUCAAAUUUCUAGAUUUUUUAACUCCGACCACAAAAAUAUCGAUUUGGUUUGGAAAUUAUGUGGGGUUAUGGAAAUUUUUUUUUCUUAAUUUUGGGUUUAUUUUGUAAACAACGCUUAGCCCAUUUCCCUUUUCCAAACCCAGAAAACAAACGGAAUUCUAGGAUUCCUCCUUGAGGCAAAUACUUUUAUGCAUACCUCUUCCGGUUGAUCUAUACCAUACUCUAUUCUCGUAAGAUGAUAGACACUAGCUAACAGUCCGCCUGGUGCUACAUCAUAAGCACAUUGGGAGCGUAGAUAACUGUAACCAUAUACAUAUAAACAUGACAGCAAUCGAAUGCCAAUCCUCGGGUUUUAUUUGUAAAGCUUAUAUUCCUUGGUAAUCGAAGCCCAAAGAUCUAUGAACU